rnacentral:tRNA from 1 species
GGAAGAGCAUCGUCUCCGGUGGGGCGCGCGGCCUUCAAAGCCGUUGAGGCGCGAGAACGCGCCUGGUGGGUUCGACUCCUACCUCUUCCGCCA